rnacentral:lncRNA from 1 species
ACCUGACCAUGGGGAGUACGCUUAACCGCAGUACCUGCUUUUGCGCUUGCACCAAGCACCUUCCAACGGUGUCUUCUCUAAUUCUCUCAACAACACUGAAGUUAGUUAUGAAAGCCACCUAUAGAAACAAUGAAUCCGGUCAGCCCCGAUGGCAAACGGUACAGUCAGAAUUUGAACUGUUAGGUACAUCACUGUGCAGUCUACAUCACCAUGGUCCUUUCGUGCUCUUCUGUCUACAGUGGCAAAGUAGAAAUGUAUGCCUGUUAAUAUAUCACAAAGCAAAUGGCUGUGCUUGCUUCAAGGAUGUGAAACAAAGGGGACAGACCUUCAGUGAAUUGGAGGCUACAAUCCUGAGCCACUUUUGUUCUGUUUUUUGCUACUUUCCCUUUUGGCUCUUUGCUACCCAAUUUGAUCAACCUGCAGACCCUGCCCAGAGCUCGAGGAAGUGGUUGCCAAGGGGAUGACCAUGGAAGUAACAUCUCCCAUUCUGACUCAUUCAGAUGCCUCUAAGCUCUCAUCAUUCUCCUCUGAACUCUUUGCCAAGGACGCAGCCUCUCUUAAGUGACAGAGACACACAAGGCUAAUGAAAACAUAAGCACACCAUGACAACUCUUUGUGUGUGUUGAUGUUCUGGUCUUCCCUUUAAAAGUCUGGGGACAUUUCUAAAGCAGGAUCUGUGUUCCAGACAGUUUUCUUCCAGACGGGACUGAGACAAUGACAUCUUGUCCCUCCGUUCCUUCUGGGUGCUCUGAGAAUGAGAUAAUGUGAAGUCACCUUACACAAUAUCUGGAUUGAAGCAAAUCGUUUUUUGUGAGCAUCACUUAGAAGCUUAACAUCUUUUGGUGCUUGAGGGCAGCUGUUAAUUGGCAUGUGAAUAAAAAUGCUUGUUCAGGUGUCACA